rnacentral:rRNA from 1 species
AGAGUUUGAUCCUGGCUCAGGAUGAACGCUGGCGGCGUGCCUAACACAUGCAAGUCGAACGGAGUUACUUUGGUGAAGUUUUCGGAUGGAUCUGAUUUAACUUAGUGGCGGACGGGUGAGUAAUGCGUGAGCAACCUGCCCUUCAGAGGGGGACAACAGUUGGAAACGACUGCUAAUACCGCAUAAUGUAUUCGGAAGGCAUCUUCUGGAUACCAAAGGAGAAAUCCGCUGAUGGAUGGGCUCACGUCUGAUUAGCUAGUUGGUGAGGUAACGGCUCACCAAGGCUGCGAUCAGUAGCCGGACUGAGAGGUUGAACGGCCACAUUGGGACUGAGAUACGGCCCAGACUCCUACGGGAGGCAGCAGUGGGGAAUAUUGGGCAAUGGGCGCAAGCCUGACCCAGCAACGCCGCGUGAAGGAAGAAGGCCUUCGGGUUGUAAACUUCUUUUAAGAGGGACGAAGAAGUGACGGUACCUCUUGAAUAAGCCACGGCUAACUACGUGCCAGCAGCCGCGGUAAUACGUAGGUGGCGAGCGUUAUCCGGAUUUACUGGGUGUAAAGGGCGCGUAGGCGGGAAUGCAAGUCAGAUGUGAAAUCCAAGGGCUCAACCCUUGAACUGCAUUUGAAACUGUAUUUCUUGAGUGUCGGAGAGGUUGACGGAAUUCCUAGUGUAGCGGUGAAAUGCGUAGAUAUUAGGAGGAACACCAGUGGCGAAGGCGGUCAACUGGACGAUAACUGACGCUGAGGCGCGAAAGCGUGGGGAGCAAACAGGAUUAGAUACCCUGGUAGUCCACGCCGUAAACGAUG